UACGGGGGGGGUAAGCGUUGUUCGGAAUUACUGGGCGUAAAGGGCUCGUAGGCGGCCAACUAAGUCAUACGUGAAAUCCCUCAGCUUAACUGGGGAACUGCGUGUGAUACUGGAUGGCUUGGAUUUGGGAGAGGGAUGCGGAAUUCCAGGUGUAGCGGUGAAAUGCGUAGAUAUCUGGAGGAACACCGGUGGCGAAGGCGGCAUCCUGGACCAACACUGACGCUGAGUGAGCGAAAGCCAGGGGAGCAAACGGG
rnacentral:rRNA from 1 species